GAUUGGUCAGACCAUAGAUAAUAUAGAAGACAGCGCCCUGGCGUAUCUAGUCUAUGUGUAUCUAUGGUCGGCACGUCUGGUAGCAUCUCUGGCUGCUGUUGAUCUUGUUUUUGGAGUAAAACACGGUGGAAGCUGAAUUAGUGAGGAUGACUCCUGCUCCUGUCAUCUCUAAGCUCCUCACACAUCUUUACCUGCACAUGAGGAAAAUCACUCCUGUAGAAUGCAGCUUCUUUAGUGAAAACCAGCUGGUGUUCUGCUUUGAAACAAACUGCUGUUGAGUGGUUCAUCAGAACCUCUGGGGAUGUCCUGUGGAUUCUGUGGAUCCUGUGGGUUGCAGGGUGGGUCCUACCUAGACCAGGCUGAUCCUGGACCAUCCCACAGAUGCUCCAUCAGAUCUGGAUGUGGGGAGUGUGGAACCCAG
ensembl:lncRNA